rnacentral:rRNA from 1 species
UGGGGAAUAUUGCACAAUGGGCGCAAGCCUGAUGCAGCGACGCCGCGUGCGGGAUGGAGGCCUGGGUUGUAAACCGCUUUGUUCAAGGGCAAGGCACGGUCUUUGGCCGUGUUGAGUGGAUUGUUCGAAUAAGCACCGGCUAACUACGUGCC